GACGAACGCUGGCGGCGUGGAUUAGGCAUGCAAGUCGAACGGUAGGAUACCUUCGGGUAUCUGAGAGUGGCGAACGGGUGAGUAACACGUAGGUGAUCUACCCUCAAGAUUGGGACAACCCAGGGAAACUUGGGCUAAUACCGGAUGAAAGCAGCAGUGAUGUUGUUUGAAAGGUGGCGUAAGCUGCCGUUUGGGGAUGAGCCUGCGCUCUAUUAGUUAGUUGGCGGGGUAAAGGCCCACCAAGGCGAUGAUAGAUAGGCGGCCUUAACGGGUGGUCGCCCACACUGGGAUUGAGAUACGGCCCAGACUCCUACGGGAGGCAGCAGUCGAGAAUAGUCUACAAUGGCCGAAAGGCUGAUAGUGCGACGCCGCGUGAACGAAGAAGCCCUUCGGGUGUAAGUUCUUUUAUAUGUGAGCAGUGCUUUCUAUGUGAACAGCAUGGGGAGAGAGAUAUUAGCAUAUGAAUAAGCAACGGCUAACUCCGUGCCAGCAGCCGG
rnacentral:rRNA from 1 species